AUGCUCGCGUGCUCCGCAGCUCCGCCGUCGGCUCUCCUGCCGCACCUAUGGCCGGCUGCGCGCGCUUCGCGCGCCGUCUCGUCCUCCCCUUCAGCAGCGGUCGCGCCGUUCGGCACCGUCUCCAUCGUUAGCAUCGAGUUCGGCUCCGCCUGCAGCCAGUUUGCCGCCCACCUCCCGCUCGCUCCUCUACCCGCGGCCGCGUGCCCGCGCUGGCCGAGUCGUCUGCGUCACUGCGCUCCUCUCCACAUCCAGUGGGCGGGCCGGCCUCCUCCAGCCGCUCCUCCUCGCCCGAGCUGCUGCCGCCCUUUGGUCCGGCCUCCCGCAGCCGCUGGCGGCCAACUCCAUCCCGCCCGGGCCGCUACGCGCCCUACACCAUCCCUCGUGCGGCGUGGCUCAGCGCCGCGCCGCCUCCCGCCAACCACCACGCCUCGCGGGCUUCGACUGCCGGCUGCGCCGUUCCCCGCCCGCUCUCAGCGUCGACAGCUCCACCCUCGCCAGUUGGCUCCGGGUCCCCGCCGGGUCACCGCCACCCGCAGCCGGGUGCUUCGCACCGGCCGGCUCCGGGACCCCGCGCCGCUGUCCGCAUCCCAUGCGCGUGGCCCCGACCACACCGCGCACCCUAGCCGGAUCCCCCAGUGCCUGGUCCUUCCCGCCUUGCUGCCUGGCCGGGUCGCCACCUCGCCACCUCCUGCUGGCCCAGGCCGGUCCUGCCCGGGCCCGCGUGCCUCCCGCGUACGUCGACCGACCUUCUCCCACUCCGACCACGCUGCCGCGUCACACACUACGCCGGCUGUGGCUCCCCGCCGCCUUCCCGUGUCUACCCGGCCACGCGCGUCCGCGUCUGACUCCGCCCGAGGCCGCCUGCGCCUCCGCGCGCCAUGCCGGCUCCCCUGCCGCGCCUCUGGCCGGCCGGGUCGCGCGCCUCCGUUGCCGGCUCCCGGGUCGGGCGCCGUGUCCGGCUGUGCCACGCGUGCCCCCGCUGGGUCCCGCUCCAGCCGCCUGUUGUGA
rnacentral:rRNA from 1 species